CCGCGACUCCAUGGGGAAAGGAUAACACAAAAGCUUCGUGUUUGGAACUUUUCCGGGACUCUGCCCACGGGCCUAUUCCCUUGACUAAUUUUAAUCUAUAUUCUUUCUCUGUAAUAAACUGUAACUGUAACAGCUUUUGGUGGCCAGGCACAGUGGCUCAUGCCUAUAAUCCCAGCACUUUGGGAGGCCAAGGCGGGCGGAUCACCUGAGGCCAGGAGUAUGAGACCAGCCUGACCAACAUGGAGAAAUCCUGUCUCUACUACAAAUACAGAAUUAGCCGGGUGUGGUGGCACAUGCCUGUAAUCCCAGUUUAUCACCACCCACCAAAAAUAGGAAAAUGAAAAUACAAAAAAUUAGCUGGGCGUGGUCGCAGGUGCCUGUAAUCCCAGCUACUUGGGAGGCUGAGGCAGGAGAAUCAGUUGAACCCAGUAGUUGGAGGUUGCAGUGAGCUGAGAUCGCGCCACUGCACUCCAGCCUCAGCGACAGAGUGAGACUCCAUCUCAAAAAAUAUAUAUAUAUAUAUAUUAGAGCUGAGAACUCAAUGAUGAAAAGGAAGGACCCCAGGAAGAUCUAGAAUAUUUUAGGAAGAGGGAACAACAGCAAGUGCAAAGCCCCCGAGGCAGGAGAGAGGUUGGAACAAUGGAAAGAAAGCAGUGUGGC
rnacentral:lncRNA from 1 species